rnacentral:rRNA from 1 species
GUGAACGCUGGCGGUAGGCCUAACACAUGCAAGUCGAACGGCAGCACAGUAAGAGCUUGCUCUUACGGGUGGCGAGUGGCGGACGGGUGAGGAAUACAUCGGAAUCUACUUUUUCGUGGGGGAUAACGUAGGGAAACUUACGCUAAUACGGCAUACGACCUACGGGUGAAAGCAGGGGAUCUUCGGACCUUGCGCGAUUGAAUGAGCCGAUGUCGGAUUAGCUAGUUGGCGGGGUAAAGGCCCACCAAGGCGACGAUCCGUAGCUGGUCUGAGAGGAUGAUCAGCCACACUGGAACUGAGACACGGUCCAGACUCCUACGGGAGGCAGCAGUGGGGAAUAUUGGACAAUGGGCGCAAGCCUGAUCCAGCCAUACCGCGUGGGUGAAGAAGGCCUUCGGGUUGUAAAGCCCUUUUGUUGGGAAAGAAAAGCAGCAGGUUAAUACCCCGCUGUUCUGACGGUACCCAAAGAAUAAGCACCGGCUAACUUCGUG